UUUGUGUUCACGUCAGUGUCUGUGUCCGACAUGACAGGAGAGGCAGGAGGUCUUUUUUUCUCUCUUACUUUUCCUGCCAUAAAGAAGAUGUAGUGCUGCAGUGUGACAGGCAGCUAUUGUUGUUCAACCCAUGUGUCCCUUUAGAUGUAUUUCACCACUGAGGGCACUUAUUGUGCUCCAACUGACCGUUUUACAGGAUAUACUGUCACAGAAAUAGUCCAGGGGCGCUGGUUUAGCUCAGUUGGUAGAGCAGGCACCCCACAUAUAGAGGCUUAAGUUCUUGUUGCACUGGCCCUGGUUAGACUCUUGAUGCUGCCUGUCAUCCCAUAUUUCCUGGUCUCCUAUAUAUUUCCUAUCAAACAAAGUCUAAAAAAGCCCAAAAAUGAUCUUAAAAAAAAAGAAUACUCUGGCCAAUAUCUAUUUUUCGGGGUAUUUUAAUCAUUGUCUCUUUGAGUAACUGCAAUUGUGAAAUAUUCAGAUCGCAUCAAAAUCAUGUUGAAAGCAUUCCAAAUCACUCAUGCAUCAUAGGCCUCAAGCAGAGGUUUGUCCAAAAUACCCGGAAUGAAUGAAAACAAUUGUGUCCAUC